CCUUAGCUGGGGCAGUAAAUCGUCUCUGAAUGCGUGGGGGACAUCCUCGUUGUCACCACGAACUGAAAGUGGUCCUGGUUCACCAAGCCACCUCAGCACUCGUCCUUCUACUGGUGGAAGUGUCACUCGAAGUCGACCUUCCACUGCUGAUAGUGACAAAGCGCAUGAUUCUUCUUCUACUUGGGAUUCGACCUCCCGGCCUUCAUCAGCAUCCGGGGUUCUCCCAGCUAAUCAGGCAUCAGUUGCACUACAACGUCCACAUAGUGCAGACACAAGACCUGGAAGCUCGCACUUAUCCCGAUUUGCUGAACCCGUGUCAGAGACUUCUGCUACAUGGGGUCAACAUGUAUGGUUCUUUCCUCUAAAAUAGUGUAUUUAUUUAUCUGAACUUGCUAAGCAACAGCGUUAUCCUCUUUUAUAUCCUUAUCUGUUAAGCAUCAUGUUAGUGUUCUCUUACUUCACUUUUGAUUACCUGCAAUAAACGCACUGUAAGUUCGUAUGUACAGGCUCCAACGAAAAAAGAUGGGUUUUCUUUGACUUCUGGAGAUUUUCCUUCCCUUGGUGCUGAAAAAGAAAGUUCUGAGAAGAGCUCCGUGCCACAAGGUAUCAUCUAUAAAUAGGAAAACUAUUUUCAUUCUAAAAAAAAAUACAAUCAGCAGUCCCUCUGUAAAGGAGGGCAAAAUAAAUGUUUCAGUUUGUACCGAAUCCUAUCCUAUACUCGCCGCCCUUGCCUUCUAGAGAGUGACGUUAGCAAAGACAUGUUCAUUUUACAAAUUGGUACUUAUAAAUGCGAUUCUGUUGAGAAAUUUGAGAAAGUUUUGCCUAGAAUUCAAAAGAGUUUCUCUCAAUCAUUUUAAUUAAUUUCCAUUGUUUCAACUUAUUGGGCAUCACUAACUAAAUUAAUAGCGAGCAUCCAAAAAGGAACAUCACUCACUAUCUUCCUCCCUCUCACAACAUUCCACAUACCAAACCCAUAUAAAUAAAUAAAAAUCACUCUCUGAGUCUCUUCUUUACGUCCAUUAUCAAACAAGAAUGACCCAGUUUCCAUUUUACAUUUAUGACCAAUACAUACAAAUUCCCAUAUGGACCACCAAGAUCAAUCAACAUGCAAACUUUUUUUAUUUUUUGCAUACUUUUCAGGAUUGGUUUGACGAGUCAUAACAAAGUAAAUAACAGAACCAAAUAUUCAAACUAGCGGCGUACGUUAAGGAACAGAGAACCAUACACAGAACUAAGACAUAUUCCACGGUAACUUGCAAUAUAUAGUCUGGUUAGAAAAAUAGGCAAGUCAAGAUGAUCAUCACAAUUUUUACAGUAGUAACGUUGCUCUCUUUUGAAGUUUGAAUUUUAAAUUGAAUGGUGCUUAAGAGGAUAAUCCCAGAUUUGUUGCUAUAAUAGCUAGUGACUUUCAAAGCAAUCAAGUGUGGGAUAAGGGAGAAAUUAAAUUUGUCUGUAGAUUCUAUAUGAUACGCCAUUAAUACGCAUUUAUUAACCUGACAAUACCAAGAAAGAAUAAACAAGCAAUUACAGUUCUGCCAGAAGAUAAGAACUGUUUCUUUUAAAAAUUUGCAACCAAGAACACUUAAGAAGAGUGUUGAAAGAGAUACUAUUGGAAGUCUCAGUACUAUGAAUGCAUAGAGGAACAUAUUUACACAAGAGACUAGACUAAACUAGGGUAUAUUCUAUAUUACCUAUUAUGAUAUAAUUAUGAGAAAUCAAGAAAUAAAAGCAGUAGAAACUUACAGUUUGAGAUUGAUAAUUCUGUGGUCAUCUUCUUGAGUCUCGUUGUAGGUGCAAGAUGCUGAAGACAAAGAAGAAGAUCCUGAGGCCGUGGUGGAUACCACAGGCCAUUUGCUAUCACCAUACACCGUUCUAUCCAGUGAGUUAGAUACCACAGGCCAUAUACUAACAACAUACGAGGAGUUUCCACCGUCAGUACCCUUCAAGAUCCUUAGUAUCAAGCUGAAGUUUACAGCCAAUGAGAGGACCAACAUGUUCCUCCAAGACAGAAUCCUCGGAACCUUUCCCAUUUUCCUCUCCAAACUAAAACCAAAUUCUUAAGGAAGAAGAGAACCAAGAAACAGAGUGGGGUUUUGUAGCUGGAAAGAAGACCUCUUUUUUAGAUAUUUUAAAUUAAGACCGCAAAAAGGAGAAGGAACACUAGUGGGUUUUGUACCUGUCCAGCGAGACUGAACCUUUUUUUUUGGCUGAAGAUAUGAAUGUGAAAGAGAUUAAAAAAAAAACAACCCUUGAAGAAUCUCAAGAGAUAAAGUUGCUGCAAGCUUUCUUCACAAGGUAAUGGCAAAAAAAGCUGUAUAUCUUGGCAGACAUAUUCUAAAACCGAAGACUAUCUGCCAAAACAUAAAAGACAAACAUAAAAAGUAUCUGUCAAAAUUGCAAAAUUAGAAUCAGGACUUAUAACAAACCUUUCUGCGAAGAAGCUUUUAGAUCGAGCUCUUUGUUCCCAUUAAUGAGAAGAAGAAGAAGAAGAAGAAGGUGGUGUUUUAGCUCUGUUUCGCUUGUAGGCUUUGGAAACGACGGCAGUACAUGAAAAUCGAGCGAGAGACACUGAACAGAGUCAGGAUCUCUGUUUAGUACAAGACUGGUGAAUGGUUAUGUAAUACUACUUUCUAGGUUCACGUCACUUCUCAGCUCUUACAUGUAAUUAGAUUAGUAGAUGCGUUCGUGCACCGACUUAAAAUAUAUCAUUUCUAUUUCCACUUCAAUAUAUAUCGGUUAAUUAAUAAUUUGUAAUUUUGAAAUUCUUCUGCAUACAAACAUUUAUUUUAAAUUUUAAACCAAUGAAUUUUAAACCAAUGAAGUCUCUGGUUCUCGGUCUUAUCGAUUGGCAGGCGAAACAGCAGUGAUAAGUGUGGUUGGAUGUAGAAGUAGAAGUUAUCGGGUGACAUGCUAUGGAUAGCAGCGGUAACUCCUGAUCAUUGGCUUUCUCUCAGUUUUAAAGUCUACUAAGUUUUCUGUUCUUUUCGUGCGUAGAUGAUAACCGCUUAUUUAGUUUUACGUCGGUGUAGAUUUAUGUUUUUUUAAGUUACCUCGGUGUGGGUUUAAGUCACCCCUAGUAUAGGUUCUAGUUACCGCUUUUUAUAGGUUUUUGGUUCUGGGGCUAUUUCGUUUUUCCGUCAGCUUUUGUAAGGAUAUUGAUAUUUCGAUUAUGAAUGUAUUUCAAUUUGGAAAAAAAAAAGAAUUGUUUACCAAAAACAUAUAUAUUCAGCUAAAAAACUAUAGUCUUUGGGUGAUUUUAGUAAAUUAUUUAUUUUUUCUGAGAAAUUAAUUAGCUUUCUUUAUUAUUAUUAUUUUUUAAAUGGCACAUUACGAAAAAGCAAAAUAAAAAAAUCUGGAGGAAACCGUGCAGCCCAGAACUUCGACGCCUUCUCAUCUUUGAACCAAUCCGAGCUCUCUCAUCCCAUCACUUGAAUUCGUUUCACGACAGAUCCUUAAGGUUUCCUCCUUCUUCGAUUCCAUCCAUCACCCACUACAACAUCCGAUCUGCUCCCCCCCGCCCUCCUGUUAGAUUCUCUCACCAUCCAUAUCUAGGGUUUCCGAGGAGCUCCCUCAAAGGAUUUGCCUUUGGUCAGUUAUUUCUCUUCAUCGCCCCCCCGAGCUAGCAAUCUCGUGCCCUAUUGAAUGCGACGAGUGACGGGUUUAUAGAAUUAUUAUCAUCAUCAUCUGACUAAAAGUUGGCUCCUUUCGUUGAUUGAUUGAUUGAUUGAUUACUGGGAACACGUAAUCGGGUUUCUCUUAACAAUUUGAUUGUCGAACAUUGUCUGUUUCUUCUAUUUGGCCAAAAAAAAACAGUGUGUUGUCUGACAAUUGAUUUUGGUAAUUAUUGGUAAUGGAUUUUUCUUGAAUUUGUUUGCUUUCUUUUAUAAAUUGGUAGUUCGACCUUCUAACUUACACUAAAGAGAGAGAUGCUAACUGGUCAUAUCAAUUGUUCUUUAGAGUUAAGCUUGGUUUGAAUUGAUUCUUUGGGAUUUGAGUUUCAUUUUGUGAGCCUAAUCGUGCACUUGCCUUACAGGUUUCGUAAGGGGUGGUUGGAUCCUGUAGCUUCUUAGUUAUGACCUCUAGCACGACAGGAGAUCGAAGGUUUCUUUUCUUUUUAGUUUUGUCUUUCUCAUGAACUUUCCUAUGCUUUUUUUUUUUUUGGGUAGAAACAGAGUGCCUCUUUGUGGUAUUUUCUUAAUGCGAACCACUUGUUUACAAUUUUCUGUAUAUUCCAACUGCUGUUAAAAUAAAAUCUCUAUACGUGCCUGGGGGUGUAGAAGGGAACUCUGUCUUUGGCGUUCUUUCUUUUACAGAUCUUGCCUUCUCCUCUCAGUGUCAUUGCUUUGAUAACAAAUUACAUUUUCUGGAUAAAUUAGCAGAUGGGGUACUACAAGAAGAAGUGGCAUGACUAUAUUGGGAAAGGUUGCUGUUCCAAAACCGAUUAACUUACCAAGCCAAAGGUAUUUGAUGGGCGCAUUAUCAUAUUUGUCUUAUAUUAUAAAUAUAAUAUACUCUCGUUCCUGAACACUUGUCCUCUGAAUUCAAAGGUUAGAGAAUCAAGGCCUUGACCCAAAUGUGGAAAUCGUUCCAAAGUAAGUGUACCUCUUUCAGAUGCUAUUUCUCAUUCUUAUUUGGCGGCGUAGAUUAGAUAGUUCAAGUUUCUUCUCCUCAUAUAUUGUAGGGGAACCCUUAGCUGGGGCAGUAAAUCGUCUCUGAAUGCGUGGGGGACAUCCUCGUUGUCACCACGAACUGAAAGUGGUCCUGGUUCACCAAGCCACCUCAGCACUCGUCCUUCUACUGGUGGAAGUGUCACUCGAAGUCGACCUUCCACUGCUGAUAGUGACAAAGCGCAUGAUUCUUCUUCUACUUGGGAUUCGACCUCCCGGCCUUCAUCAGCAUCCGGGGUUCUCCCAGCUAAUCAGGCAUCAGUUGCACUACAACGUCCACAUAGUGCAGACACAAGACCUGGAAGCUCGCACUUAUCCCGAUUUGCUGAACCCGUGUCAGAGACUUCUGCUACAUGGGG
rnacentral:lncRNA from 1 species